CCCAUGGUACAUGAUAACUUGGUUUACAAAUACUGCUGGACUCCAAGGCAAUGGCAGUAAAAUAUUGUUGGGGAAGGGUGGGAAAGAAAUAGCUUGUAGUAGAUCAUCUUUGGGCAAUGUGCAUAAGUAGGGGAAUCCUGUCUACCCCAUGACCAUAUUGUCUCUUGUUCCAUCUGCAGGGUUUUUCCCUGCCCUUGCCCAGGAGCAGCCUUUGGGAGUCGUUCUGGGGCCUUCUUUUCUGCCACGCCUUUCUCUUCCCCCAAGCUGCUGCAGAGCCUAAAAACUCCAGGAAACAAAGCUCCCUUGGAUGGAAGAGACUGGGCCAAGGAAACCAGCUCUCAACCCUGACUGGAAGCGCUGUGGGUGGGAGAGUUGUUUCCAGGCCCUCCUCAGUUGGAAUCUCUGCUGAGAUCACAGAGCAGGCAGUCUCCUUUCUUCCAUGUAAAAAGAUGCAGCCUGGAAGGGCCAGUGGUGAGCACUGCCAUCCCAAAGGUCUCUAGCAGCUGAGAGGGAUCCAGAGAGGCACAACAGAAAAGAUGAUUACCAGGGUGGACUUCUGAGGAAAGAAUAAAAGAGUUAAAGGGGAAACACCGUUGAGAUCCGUGGAGUAAAAAUAGGCAUGGAUUUGGCCCACUACAUCUAGUUUGGUUAUGUGACAGCUAAGUGGGGCUGGUCCAGCUAUCUGCAAGUAUCUGAAGGGUGUAAACACCAAGCAGCAGAGAAAGUGGUUAGAAAGGGUCCGGGCACAGAACAAGGAGGAAUGGAGUAGAACUAAGAAAUGUAGGCUGGAUGUUAGACCCCACCAUUAGGAAUGUUUCCUUUCCAGAUGAGGACUGACAGUCUCCCACAGCUUGAGCCAUUUAUAUUGAGACUGGACAAUCAGUAAACAGUGCAAUCAAGAACAGCCCCGCACUGGUGGUGGAGGGCCAGGGGCUGGGCUGACUGCUAUUUGACCAGACAGCUGUAUUCCACCCCGAUUUCUCUGAUGCUGUGAAGUGACAGGAUUUCUUUGUUUUUUUCCUUGAUUGGCUCAUUGUAAAAUGCUACUGAUUCUGGUA